GUUUUGUUUAUUUUAAGCAGGAAAAGAUGAGAAAGAGAGCGCUACCUGCCCCCAAAAACAGGUCCUGAGCUGCCAGUGCUCAGCACAACACCUUGAGGCUGAUGAAUGGGAAUUUCCAUCAGUCUUCAUUGAUCAUCUGGACAACGGGCAAAAAAAACAUAAUAUGAGCAUGCCAGACAGCGCUGCUGAAAACCAGUGACAUGAGUGUUUGAUGAGCUCCGCUUUCACAGUAUAUUGGGAAGAAAUGGGUAACAAAGCUGAAAAAACGUUAACCUCGUGUAAAAGAGACGUGCAUGUUUGGUGUUACCCUACUUGGAGCAGUGAUUCGGUGCAAGCGACCUCUUUUCCACGAGCAACCCCAAACCAGGACCUAUUUCUGGGCACUGCAUCCCUGCUUGAGCAAUCCUGGCGGAGCACUGAUCCCCAGCUCAGCCUCAGCAAUGGUUUCUCCUAGCCAUGGAGCCACCACUACCAACUUGCCCGGCAUCCUUAGAACCAUCGAAUCAUAGAAUCAAUAAGGCUAGAAAAGACCACUAAGAACAUCAAGACCAACCAUCAGCCCAUUGCCACAAAGUCUUGAUGUUGGGUUGAUCCCUGCACAGGGGCAGGAAGGCUCCCCACUGAACCCAACCCCAUCUGAGCCACCACGGACAGCUCCACAGCGGUGCACCCCAAUGGCAGCGGCUGCCGUAGCGUUGCCUUCCUUUGACAUUUCCAUGCAUUCUCUUUUUCUUGUUGAAACUGCAGUCUUGCACACUGAAACCUUUGUAUGAUUUGAUGAAUUUCCAGAAGGCACUUACUUCCCUGGGCAUCACGUGACUGCAGAAGUGGGGCACCAGCAACGCUGCUGCGAGCCCAGUGAAUUGUCGGGUCUCAGUGUAAUUAUAAGUGAGGAAUUAUCGGGAGAUGAACGUGUUUCUACUGGUGCAUCUCAGGGAUAUCUCUGGUUCUGAGAUCUCACGCUCCAUCCCCCCCUCUCCCACACGUGGUUGCAGCCAAAAAAUAAGUAAAAUAAAAGCUUUGUGCCUU
ensembl:lncRNA